UGUGGGAGCGAGCCUGCUCGCGAUGGCGGUGGGUCAGUCGAUAUUUAUAUUGAAUGAUCAAUUACCUUCGCGAGCAGGCUCGCUCCCACA
rnacentral:misc_RNA from 1 species